CUACGGGGUGCAGCAGUGGGGAAUCUUCCGCAAUGGACGAAAGUCUGACGGAGCAACGCCGCGUGAACGAUGACGGCCUUCGGGUUGUAAAGUUCUGUUAUACGGGACGAAUGGUACGACGGUCAAUACCCGUCGUAAGUGACGGUACCGUAAGAGAAAGCCACGGCUAACUACGUGCCAGCAGCCGCGGUAAUACGUAGGUGGCAAGCGUUGUCCGGAAUUAUUGGGCGUAAAGGGCGCGCAGGCGGCGUCGUAAGUCGGUCUUAAAAGUGCGGGGCUUAACCCCGUGAGGGGACCGAAACUGCGAUGCUAGAGUAUCGGAGAGGAAAGCGGAAUUCCUAGUGUAGCGGUGAAAUGCGUAGAUAUUAGGAGGAACACCAGUGGCGAAGGCGGCUUUCUGGACGACAACUGACGCUGAGGCGCGAAAGCCAGGGGAGCAAACGGGAUUAGAUACCCUAGUAGUC
rnacentral:rRNA from 1 species